UGAGUGGCCGGAUCGUAACAAACAUUGUACGCUCAACGAGUAUUUAACUUGUUCGUUUGGUCUGGGUAAUCUUUUGAAUACGUAUCGUGCAAGGGAUAGAUUAUUGCAAUUAUUAAACUUGAACGAGGAAUUCCUAGUAAACGCAAGUCAUCAGCUUGCAUU
rnacentral:ncRNA from 1 species